GUUACCCGGCCGGCUGCGAGCCCUCUCCUAUUACGGGAGCCCGCGCCGCGCAGGGCCGGAGGGCGGGAGCGGAGCCCCGGCGGGAAGCAGCGCGGCCCCGCGGCCCGCCUCCGGGGCUGUGCGGCGUGAGCUUCCUGACCGCGGCGCCGGGGGUUUCCGAGGGCUUCCGCGGGGUUUUGCUGCUAAUCGGUGAUACGGGGGUUUGGGGAUAUGAGUACACUGAACAGCACAUGUCCCAGCACUGAUUUGUGCAGACGCCUAUACCAUUCAGCACCUCCCUCCAUUGUGGGAGCUGGCCUGCUUUAUGUGCCCUGUGAACUGAAAAGGGAUAUGUUAUUCCUAGUAUUACCUCAUUCCUCCUCCAGUGACUGACAAACAUGCAUCCCAAGGCUGUGCUGAACAUGUAGGAAAAAUUGACAAAAACAAAUCCUGAGAUUGUGUGACAUUCUUGGGAAAGCUCAAGGAAGUGUGACUGCAUGUCUGUACUAGUAUUUGUAGGGACCUUCGAAGCUUAAGUUAUUUUCCUAUAUACAUAGGCUGUGAACAAGAGGACUAGUGCCACUGAAGUUAGUGGGAACUGCAGACACCAAACACCUCUAAUAACUGGGCCACGUGGUUAUGUGAGGCAUUGUUAUUAUACAAAAAGGCUUUUAUUUCUGCUCUUUUUUCUCUGCCACAUAAGCUGACCUAGUUCACAAUGUGCCUCUGUACAGAUGCAUGCUCUUCCAUGGGCAGAAAGACGGCAGGCAGAGCCAUUGCCAAUGAAGAGUGCCUGGAGUUAGGAAGGGGAAGAGACACAGGGCAGCUCAGGAUGGUGAGAUAAAGAGAAGGAAAUGAAACACAAAGACAUUUAAAGGAGAAGAGAGAGAAAUGGAGAGAAGACAGAGAAGUCAUAUCCAUAUCUGCUGCCCCUGAAGUAUCUAGGAGACAGAGGAUUUACUCA